AGAGUUUGAUCCUGGCUCAGGACGAACGCUAGCGGCGUGCCUAAGGUAUGCAAGUCGAACGGGAUCUUCGGAUCUAGUGGCGAACGGUCGAGUAACACGUAGACAACCUGCCUUUCAGUGGGGGAUAACAGCUCGAAAGGGCUGCUAAUACCGCAUAGGGCGGCUUGGCGAUGCCAGGCAUGCUAAAGGAGCAAUCCGCUGGGAGAUGGGUCUGCGGCCUAUCAGGUAGUUGGCGGGGUAAUGGCCUACCAAGCCCGCGACGGGUAGCUGGUCUGUGAGGACGAGCAGCCAGACUGGGACUGAGACACGGCCCAGACACCUACGGGUGGCAGCAGCGAGGGAUCUUCCACAAUGGGCGCAAGCCCGAUGGAGCAACGCCGCGUGGAGGACGACGGCCUUCGGGUUGUAAACUCCUUUCGGGGGGGAUGAGAGGGACAGUACCCCCAGAAGCAGCCCCGGCUAACUCUGUGCCAGCAGCCGCGGUAAUACAGAGGGGGCAAGCGUUGUCCGGAUUUACUGGGCGUACAGCGCGCGCAGGCGGCUGGGAACGUGCCGUGUGACAGGCCACCGCUCACCGGUGGCAGGCCAGGGUAGACGACCCGGCUGGAGGCAGGGAGAGGGAUGUGGAAUGCCCGGUGGAGCGGUGAAAUGCGUAGAGCUCGGGCGGAACACCAGCGGCGAAGGCGGCAUCCUGGUCCUGUACUGACGCUGAGGCGCGAGAGCGUGGGGAGCGAACUGGAUUAGAUACCCUGGUAGUCC
rnacentral:rRNA from 1 species